rnacentral:lncRNA from 1 species
AUUAUAGUUGAUUUACAUUCUUCUGUCAAUUUCUGUUGUACAGCAAAGUAACCCAGUUAUACAUACAUACGCAGUUUUUUUCCCACAUUAUCCUCCAUCAUGUUCCAUCACAAGUGAUCAGAUAUAGUUCCUUGGGCUAUACAGCAGAAUCCCAUCGCUUAUCCAUUCCAAAUGCAGUAGUUUGCAUCUAUGAACCCCAAAUUCCCAGUGCCUCCCAAUCCCUCCCCCUCAGCAACCACAAGUCUGUUCUCCGUGUCCAUGAGUUUGUUUCUUUUCUGCAGAUGGGUUCAUUUGUGCCAUAUAUUACAUUCCAGAUAUAAGAGAUAUCAUAGAGUAUUUGUCUUUCUCCUACUAACUUCACUUAGCAUGAGUCUCUAGUUCCAUCCAUGUUGUUGCAAAUGGCGUUAUUGUGUUCUUUAUUUUUUAUUUUUAAUGAUUUUUUUCCAUUAUAGCUGGCUUACAGUGUUCUGUCAAUUUUCUACUGUACAGCAAGGUGACCUAGUUACACAUGCGUAUAUACCUUCUUUUUUCUCCCAUUAUCCUGCUCCAUCAGAAGUGACUACACAUAGUUCCCAGCACUACACAGCAGGAUCUCAUUGCUCAUCCAUUCCAAAGGCAACAGUCUGCAUCUACAUGGCAUCACUUAUAUCUGGAAUCUAAUAUACAGCACAAAUGAACCUUUCCACAGAAAAGAAAAUCAUGGACUUGGAGAAUAACUAUUUAAAAUAUACUUAUUUUAUAGUGUCCUUAAGAUUAUUCUAUUACAUCUAAUUUGCGGUGCUAAUUCUCUGGUUUGCUGGGUUUUCUAACUGUCCCUCCCAACGGGUGCACCAGUCCAUAUGCAUUCACAAUCUUUCUCUGUAGCAAGUUAUUUUAUUUUCCUGGAGUCCUGUGAGUCAUUAGCUGUGAGGAUGAACCUGUGGGCAGGUUUUACUUUUGUCUCGGCUGAGGAUUCUGGAGAUUUCAAAGAUUCUAGACACAUUUCGAUAUUAAUUGUUUGGCGUGGGUUUCCUCUGCCAUACGGGUACUGUGAAUGCGAAUUCAACAUUGAGUAGGGUGCAGUCCUGGGUUUUUCAUUUCCUGCAGAUGACCUCUUUCCACUCAAGAGCCCAUGUGCCGGCCUCCUCAUAACUUCCCUGGGCCGGGGUUGCUUCCUUAGCAAUCGUCCCAGUCCCCUUUUCAGAAGCUGGAUGGAAGGGCUGUCUGAGACGGCCGCUCCCCUGCAUCUUCAAGGUCUGGAGCCUCAUGUCCUAUGCCACACAGGCAUCAGAACCCCAGCCCUCAGCUCUGGGGCUUGUAUCGGGGUGUGAACUCGUCGUGUCUGCUGCGGCGCACGUUUGGCCUUGCUGCUCUAACUCCGAUUCCUUUCUUCCUGUCUGGCAUUUGGGGAUUGCCCUUUCGUUCUUUUCUGAGGUCAUAUAUGUAUUUAAAUUCUGAGGAUUUGUCUUUAUAGCACUACUAUGUGUUAGUAUGAGGAGAGAGGUCUUGGUCUGCUUUACUGUUGGAAGGAGUCUGCUAUUGAUUCUUUUCAGAAGGUCUCAGAAGAACUCUCCAAUCACCUUACACUGAUUGACUUCGGUGUUGCUGUGAUGGGGGUUGGGGGGUGGGGAGAGUGAUCUAUGUGACAUUCCUAAUAUAGAGUGACUAUCCCAUCAUGCAAAGAAAUCAUAGAGACACACAAUUUAUGUAAAAUUAGUCUCAAGAAGACAUGAUAUACCUCUGGAUGUUCUCAAUGAUAUACAAUGUAUCUUGAAAUUAGGGUCAGAAAUCAGUGACCUUUGCAUUCUGACGAACAUGUCCCUGGGAUAAAUUGCAUUUUUAUUACAUUAUAUUACAUCACUGCAAUUAGAUGAGACUCUUUUGGGAUUUUGAAUGCUUUUCUUUAACAUUUAAAAUAUGCAUGUAUAUUAUUUAUAUGCAUGUCAUACAUGGCAAUUUGAGGGUUCUAUAAACAAAAUUCAUACAUAAAAAUGAGAAAAAAAUGUGAUAAUUCACUAAUUGAAAGAAUUAAGCAAAUGAGACCAUCACAUUGGGCCUUGGACGAAAGAUCACUUUUGUUUAAUUUAUAAUAUUCCAAGAGAAAAAAAAGAAAUUCUUAAAAACAAAAAUGAUUUUUGAGAGCUAAUUUCCAAAAAGCAAACUUAGUAAUAUAUAGAAAUCAUGGCAUGAAAUUACUCACAGUUUUUGCAAGCAAUUAUUAUGGUAUAAUAGAGGGUUAUAUUUUCCGUGUUGGAUGGUUAUGAAAAAUGAUAAAAAGCAUCCUUUUGGCUUUUUUCAGCUCCCUUGGGAAAGAUGCUGAUAAGAAAGAAAGACAAGGAGGAAAAAAUGCUAGAAUUCUGUAACACAAACAAGACACACAAGCCAUUUUCUUAACUUCACACUGUUCAGGAGAAUGACAAAACACCAAUUUCCACAAGAUGGUCUGUCUUGCAAAUAUGGAACACUUCCCAUUCAAAUAGGUAUCUGGGGCAUUCUGGGUAAGCCAGCCAAAACGGGUAGCAAGAGCAUGUAAAUUAAAGUAGCAACCUUUCCCAUCCCGAGUACUCAUCCGUGCCACUGACACACUGCAGAAAGGAUGCCAGACCUGCCACUGACAGAAAUCUCACGUCUGUAGCCUGCUGCGAGAUCUCUGAAAAGCACCGCUUUCAGCAUGUAGGAUUCCUUUCUUGGUGACAAGAAGUUGAGCGGAGGAAAUAACAUACCAUUUGGUGUCCUCUGGGCAGGUCUGUGAACAGACUUGUGCUGAGCCCCUGUGUUGCUUUUCAAGAUGUUCAAGAUCUGUAUGUGCUAUGUGCUGCAACAUCCAAGUGGCAUAUAAACAAACCGGUGUUGACUUCCAGGAAAAUGCAAUUACCAUUUUAGGAGAACCAUCACAUUUGCCUCAACCCAAAUGAUUUGCAAAAUGACAAACUGCAGCUUCUCAGUAUGGCUUGUAAGACAACCACCUGACCCCCAGAAGUGCAGACGUAGCACAACCUCAAAUAAGGCCUGGGCUAUGGCAGCAGACACUGUCAGGGGGUCGGCCUAUGUCCCCUCGUCCUUACCAUUUCAGUGCAGUCCAGCCUGACUUCCACUUGCCAGUGCCCCCCCCCGAAGUUUGCAUUGCCCUCUCAUGUGGCAGGCUAGAAGUGCUGGGGAAGUAACGCCAGUUGCCUGCCCACAGUGAUAAUUGGCUUGAUACCACACUCUUCACUGGCAGCCUUCCCUCCUUGUUUCGCGUUCCUGCUUCCCUACUGUGUUUCCUCGGGCCAACUCUCCAACCAGCUCCCAUGUACCUGAGUCCCUGUUUCGGCGUCAGCCUCUGGAGGAACACAAGCUAAGACAAUUACCUUUUAUUAGAGGUCCUGGCACCUUGGCAUUUGGGCAGGCUUCAAGAUGUCAGGGUUUUAGUUGAGAAGGACGAAUAUUAGAAUACGGUUUCAUAUGCACCCCUAUGUUCACGAUUUACAAUAGGCAAGAUACAGAAGUACCCUAGGUGUUCAUCAACAGAUGAGUGGAUACUUUUGUGAUAUAUAUAUAUAUCUCGAAUAUUAGCCAGAAUGGAAUUAAUAUCGAUCCAAAUACCAGUUAAAAUAACCAGACUCUUGUUUGAAAGCAACAGAGGUGCUCUGGUGGCCUUGGGUCUUGUGGGCUUCAGAACACAUGUGAAAAUGAUCAUUUUUACCAUCGAUUGAACAAACGUUUACUGAGCGCCUAGCAGGUAGGAGGCACUAUUACAAGCACUUUACCUGUAGUGACUUACCUAAUCACCACGAAAUGCUAAGAAAUAAGCAUUAUUGUUAUCACCCCUGUCUUAUGGCUAGGGAAACUGAGAGAUGACGUAAAGGUCCCAGGGAUCCCGAUCUUGUGCUUACACUUCGAAGGAAGGGCAGUACGGCUGGCCUUGCGGGAGCUGGGAUCGAGCUGCGGGAUCUCGUCACUGGUCGCUCACGACUUCAUGGCUUCUUUGUCUGGGCUCUGCGUUUCUGGGACUCUUAGACUCUGAAAACUAUGUUAGGUUCCACAUUUGAAGAGAGGUGGAUAAGGUGACAGGCUUUUUUGUUUCCUUUGAAAGCUUUUAAAAUUGAAGAAUAACACACACAAAGACAAGGGCACAAAUCCUAAGUAGACAGCUCAAUGAAUUGUUACAAAGUAAACACAGAUCAAGAUACGCAACAGGAGGCUUUUCCGAGGGCUCUGGCGGUCUCCUUACCAUCCUAUGGUUCACAGGCCAGUAUCAAGAGUGACAAUAAAUCAUGCUGAGAGUAUGUGCUGUUGAGAGGACGUGAUGAAAAUGGCACUUUGUCACUGUGAUCUUCCUUCCCUAACCCGUAACUCUAGUCAAAUCAUAAGAAAAAAAAAAUCAACCAAAUCCAAGGGGUGGGGGAGGGCAUCCAACAAAAUACCUGAUCAGCCUCCUCAAGGUCAUCGAAAACAAGGAAAGUCUGAGAAACCAUCAUAGCCAAGAGGAGCCCAAAGAUACAUUACAUGAAUUCUGAUAUCCAGAGAAAAAGGGCAUUAUGUAAAAGCACAGGAAAUGUGAAUCAACUACGGUCUUCAGUUAACAACGAUGUAUUGAUAUUAUUUUGUUAAUUGUAAUUGGUCACAACAGUUUUGGAUCAAUACACAACCUUGUUUUAUGUGUGUUUCUGUUUAAAGACUCCGCUAGGGAUCGAACUCACGCCACAGCAGCGACCUGAGCCAUUGCAGGGACAAUGCCAGAUCUUAACUUGCUAAGCCACACGGGAACUGCUGACACUUCAUUUGAUACAUAGUUGAUUCAUUAAUAUUGAAUAUUCAUGGCAAAUAGCCUUCCCUUUUUGUAAACAAAGCUUAUCUAACUCCUACAUUUUCUCCAUCAGGCGUCUCACAGCUUUCUGGUUCUUAGGAGCACUAGACAGCACUUCAGCACUAUGCUUAGGGGGCAUUUGAAACACAAAAUCACUUGAAAAAGGCACAAAAAUGGGAAAAUUAUGGCACAAAACAGACCACAAAAAGGAUACUUGCUCGCAGUAUGAGAGUAGAUACGAGAAGGCAGAGUCUUCUUCCACCUUAGCUGGGAACGCGUGCAUUGGACAACUCAAACUUUUUAGCUUGUGUACAUGCCUUGCUUACAAAGGGCCACAGAAGUGUCACGAGUAUCCAUUUGGGAGUCAUGCAUAAAUUUUAGUGAGUAGGUGAGAAAUCACAAAUAUGGGAUCCAUGAAAAACAGGGAUCAACUAUAUAUUUAUUCUAAAAACUCUAUGAAUACAUUCCCCAAUAACUUAAGUUCUUUUGACAACCCAUUACAGAUGGCUCAUUUCUGAAUUUGUGUAACUUGCUAAAAUUUAUCUAUUUAUCUAUCUAGUUUUUUAUUUAGUCUAUACUUGUGCUAUACAGUAGCCAUAUGUGGCUGUUAGUACUUUAAAUGUGGCUGAUCUAAGCUAAGAUGUGCUACAAGGAUUCACACCAGAUUUUGAAAGCUUAGUACAAAAAAAGUAUGAAAAAAGAAUGUAAAUGAUCUCAUUAAUAAUUUUAAUCUUGAUUACAUGUUAAAAUAAUUAUAUUUUAAUAUAAAUGGUUAAAUAAAAUACUAACAUUAAUUUCACCUGUUUCUUUUUAUGUUUAUAAUGUGACCACUAGAAAAAAAUGACGCAUGUGA